UUAGGCAUAGAAUUAUUAAUUAUUAAAAGCAAAUAUUAUGGUAUAUUAACAAUUUAUUAAUAUAUUAUACUUAAACAAAUUAAACAAACCCAUCUUCACCUUCAAUCUUCUCUUCCACUACCACUGCCUAUCACCCUUCCACCAAUACGAGGGAUGAAUUAAGUAGCGGAACAACUAUAAAUUGGUCAAUCCAGAUUAUAACUUAGCAACUAUAAAUUUCUCUCUCUAACCUAGAACCAUCAUCACUAUUCAUCAUCUUCCUCAUCCAAUUUAGUACAAGAGACCCAAAUAGUAAAAACACUAACAAUCGACAACCAAGUAGGGAUAGUCAGCCUAUAAAUAACUAGAAUAUCUAACAAUCAAGAUCGAAAUAGAAAAAGUUCACUUGAAAUUGAAAAAAUUGUUACCCGAUUUGAGGUAUUCUUCCUCUUUUUCUUUAUUUUCAUUACAUGCUUAUGAGAAAUUGGGCUUCAGCUUGGGGAAGAAAUUAAAAUACUCUAUCGAAACGCAAUCUUCAUGUCCGAACGCCUUUGCCCCGAGUUUCCUUCGGAGGUACCUUCUUCAUCCCCUGACAUUUAAAUCUACAAGAUUGAUUAUUUAUGAAAAUUCAAAUAAUCUGCUCAGAGAGGAGAGCUCGAUGAUGUAUUUUUAGGUGGAGUAGAUCUCCUGCAUCCUUUCUCUCCUCUCUUUCGUUUGUG
rnacentral:lncRNA from 1 species